CCUACGGGAGGCAGCAGUAGGGAAUAUUGGACAAUGGACGCAAGUCUGAUCCAGCCAUCCCGCGUGAAGGAUUAAGGCCCUAUGGGUUGUAAACUUCUUUUCUUUGGGAAUAAAAAGCGGUAUUCAUAUCGCCUUGAAGGUACCAGAGGAAUAAGCACCGGCUAACUCCGUGCCAGCAGCCGCGGUAAUACGGAGGGUGCAAGCGUUAUCCGGAUUCACUGGGUUUAAAGGGUGCGUAGGUGGCUUUGUAAGUCAGCGGUGAAAGCCUGGAGCUCAACUCCAGAAUUGCCAUUGAUACUGCAGAGCUUGAAUCAAGUUGAGGUGGAUGGAAUAUUACAUGUAGCGGUGAAAUGCUUAGAUAUGUAAUAGAACACCGAUUGCGAAGGCAGUUCACUAAGCUUGUAUUGACACUGAGGCACGAAAGCGUGGGGAUCAAACAGGAUUAGAUACCCUGGUAGUCCACGCCCUAAACGAUGCAAACUCGACAUUAGCGAUAUACAGUUAGUGUCCAAGCGAAAGCGUUAAAGUUUGCCGACCGNGGUAAGGUACGACCGCGAGUAGUUAACGUUACAANAGAGUUAGAGGCGNGAGAGNGCGAGGACGACGACGAGGGAGGAGG
rnacentral:rRNA from 1 species